GAUGAACGCUGGCGGCGUCCCUAAUACAUGCCAGUCGAGCGAACAGAUGAGGAGCUUGCUCCUCUGACGUUAGCGGCGGACGGGUGAGUAACACGUGGAUAACCUACCUAUAAGACUGGGAUAACUUCGGGAAACCGGAGCUAAUACCGGAUAAUAUAUUGAACCGCAUGGUUCAAUAGUGAAAGACGGUUUUGCUGUCACUUAUAGAUGGAUCCGUGCCGCAUUAGCUAGUUGGUAAGGUAACGGCUUACCAAGGCAACGAUGCGUAGCCGACCUGAGAGGGUGAUCGGCCACACUGGAACUGAGACACGGUCCAGACUCCGACGGGAGGCAGCAGUAGGGAAUCUUCCGCAAUGGGCGAAAGCCUGACGGAGCAACGCCGCGUGAGUGAUGAAGGUCUUCGGAUCGUAAAACUCUGUUAUUAGGGAAGAACAAAUGUGUAAGUAACUAUGCACGUCUUGACGGUACCUAAUCAGAAAGCCACGGCUAACUACGUG
rnacentral:rRNA from 1 species